CCCACUUCCAUGGCCUCUUUCAGGGUCAUUAAUAACAUGCACCACUUGCUCCUCAUUAGGGGCAAUUUCGUAACUUCAUCUAUACUUAAUGUGUACUUAUUGUUAACUUUUCAUCAGGGUGUAUUGUUUUUGCAAUGUUCUUGUCUUAUGCUUUGGUAAUUGUUGGGAAUUAUGAGUAUCCCACAACUAUUAUCAUAGCUGCCUCUGGAUGGUAGAGCACACUAGUGUACAACAUUCAAGAACAAAAAAUGAAAAUCUUCUUAAUUUCUUUUGUGUUGUAGUUUAUGGUAGAUUGGAGUGGCAAUUGUGUAGUCUAGUAAAGUAUUAAUUUGUAUGUAAGAGAAAAAGGUUGAAAUUUGCGCUUAAAGAAAAGAAGAGGCAGUUAAAAAUGGGAAAGAGAGGGAGAAAGGGAGGAGGAAAAAACAAAAGAAAGAGGGAUGAUGGGGGAGGGAGGGUGAUGAUGGAAGGGGUGCGUCGGUUCGAACCAAUCCAAACCAUCAUUGCGAAUCUUGGGACGGCCGAGCCCACCAUCAUUUGAGAAGAGGGUGUGGGGGGUGGAAUACCCAAAAUGCCCAACUGCACACCCCAUCAUUCACAUGACGCCAUAUAUGCCUCAUCAUCAUCAUCAUGCUCUCCUUUCGCAUUAAAUCCUCGCCCCUACCGGCCGCCUUCCAUGCUUACACAUACAUGAUUGUUUUGGCAGGUGAAAGGCAUGUCCCCCCCUCCUCUCUCACCCCAACCCCCACCUCCCCUCCCCUUCUCUUCUUUUCUCCUAUAUAUUUACACCCUCCAUUGCUUCCACUUUGUCCCCCUCCCUUCCUCCCCACUCUCCCCUCUCUCUCUUUCUCUCUCUAUAAAUCUGUAUAUCCAAUUGCAUUCUUUUUUGUUUCUUCCACUGCUGCUCCCUACUACUUCAACUGCAGCUUCUUGUCAAAGUAUCCCCAGACCCCAAAGCGCUCUCUCUUCUUCUUAUAUAACCAACUUCUAAAAGGUUUUCAUCGUCAUGGAAAGGCUGAACUCAAAGCUGUACUUGCAGAACUGUUACAUAAUUCAAGAGAAUGAGAGGCUAAGGAAGAAAGCACAGCUUCUCAACCAGGAGAAUCAAGCACUGCUGUCUGAGCUGAAGCAGAAGCUCUCCAAGGCAAACUCAAAAGCAAGUGCCGCAAACACUAUUCCAGACCUCAACCUCAGCUCCUCUGCCUCCACCACAUCUGCUGCCAAUUCCACUGACCCAUGAACCAUCAUGGGCAACCCUCUUAGACUCCCUUGCCUUCUUUUUUUCCUUUUUGAUUUUGUGUAAAACCUUUAGCCAACAAUAGUAGUUUCUCGCAGUUGUAGUUGCAUAGUUCCAUAGUAGUAGUAUCUUUCUACCAGUCUUGCCUCUUACAGAUGAUAUUCCCAUCUUUAACAUAUCUUUUUCUUUCUUUCUUUCUUUCCUCUUUUGGGUGGGGGGUUGUUCUUUAGGAGAUGGAUCUCUGAACUUCAAAGAUGUAUCAGGAUAUCUGCUAGAAAUGAAUAUAAUCUUUUGGUCUUA